rnacentral:rRNA from 1 species
GACGAACGCUGGCGGCGUGCCUAAUACAUGCAAGUCGAGCGCAGGAAAUCGACGGAACCCUUCGGGGGGAAGUCGACGGAAUGAGCGGCGGACGGGUGAGUAACACGUAAAGAACCUGCCCUCAGGUCUGGGAUAACCACGAGAAAUCGGGGCUAAUACCGGAUGGGUCAUCGGACCGCAUGGUCCGAGGAUGAAAGGCGCUUCGGCGUCGCCCGGGGAUGGCUUUGCGGUGCAUUAGCUAGUUGGUGGGGUAAUGGCCCACCAAGGCGACGAUGCAUAGCCGACCUGAGAGGGUGAUCGGCCACACUGGGACUGAGACACGGCCCAGACUCCUACGGGAGGCAGCAGUAGGGAAUCUUCCACAAUGGACGAAAGUCUGAUGGAGCAACGCCGCGUGAACGAUGAAGGCCUUCGGGUCGUAAAGUUCUGUUGUAAGGGAAGAACAAGUGCCGCAGGCAAUGGCGGCACCUUGACGGUACCUUGCGAGAAAGCCACGGCUAACUACGUGCCAGCAGCCGCCGUAA